CCUACCGGGGGAGGCAGCAGUAGGGAAUCUUCCACAAUGGACGCAAGUCUGAUGGAGCAACGCCGCGUGAGUGAAGAAGGUUUUCGGAUCGUAAAGCUCUGUUGUUGGUGAAGAAGGACAUGGGUAGUAACUGAUCUAUGUUUGACGGUAAUCAACCAGAAAGUCACGGCUAACUACGUGCCAGCAGCCGCGGUAAUACGUAGGUGGCAAGCGUUGUCCGGAUUUAUUGGGCGUAAAGCGAACGCAGGCGGGAGAACAAGUCAGCUGUGAAAGCCCUCGGCUUAACCGAGGAACGGCAACUGAAACUGUUUUUCUUGAGUGCAGAAGAGGAGAGUGGAACUCCAUGUGUAGCGGUGAAAUGCGUAGAUAUAUGGAAGAACACCAGUGGCGAAGGCGGCUCUCUGGUCUGUAACUGACGCUGAGGUUCGAAAGCAUGGGUAGCGAACAGGAUUAGAUACCCUGGUAGUCCAUGCCGUAAACGAUGAGUGCUAAGUGUUGGGAGGUUUCCGCCUCUCAGUGCUGCAGCUAACGCAUAAGCACUCCGCCUGGAGGUCCAAACCCACCU
rnacentral:rRNA from 1 species